UCAGUUAGUAUUGCCAUCGUGUCCAGUGGAAGGGGUUAUUGUAUAACUCGACUCAAAGCGUUGCAAGGAUAUUGCUAAUGCCCUAGACAAUGUUGUUCCGCUUUUUAUUUCCACGAGCCACACACACGAGCUUAGAUGACUUUGAUGAUUUAGCUGAGGAACAUUGAUAGAGUGCGUGGGCAAGAUUACCUAAGGAUAGUAGUUGGUACCUCAUGGUACUAUUGCUGUUGGGGGAUUUAUUUUAUUCAAUA